UACGUAGGGGGCAAGCGUUGUCCGGAUUUAUUGGGCGUAAAGAGCGUGUAGGCGGCUUUACAGGUCCGUUGUGAAAACUCGAGGCUCAACCUCGAGACGCCGGUGGAAACCGUAAGGCUAGAGUCCGGAAGAGGAGAGUGGAAUUCCUGGUGUAGCGGUGAAAUGCGCAGAUAUCAGGAAGAACACCCGUGGCGAAGGCGGCUCUCUGGGACGGUACUGACACUGAGACGCGAAAGCGUGGGGAGCAAACAGG
rnacentral:rRNA from 1 species